CGGAAACUCCUGCAUGGACAUCUUUUCCAGCCCGGAAAGAUAUUCGGAUCGUCUUUCCACAGGGAUAAUGAUCCAGGGAAGCCCUGCGACAAGGCGAAUAUAAUUCAUCAGGAAUCGUGAAGUUCGGCCGUUUCCGUCCCCAAACGGAUAAACAUAGCCAAUAAAGAAGUGAGCAAGGGCAGCUCUAAUGUAAGGGUUUUGUUCCUCGGCUGCGGCUGUCAUGACGCCGUGCAUGGCUUCAGCGACUUUUGUGUGAUUCAUUGGAAUGUGAUUUGAGCCACGAAUGAAGACAGGUUGAUUUCUGUAGGAUUCAAGUUCCGAU
rnacentral:misc_RNA from 1 species